GUGGGGAAUAUUGGACAAUGGGCGAAAGCCUGAUCCAGCCAUGCCGCGUGUGUGAAGAAGGUCUUCGGAUUGUAAAGCACUUUAAGUUGGGAGGAAGGGCAGUAACCUAAUACGUUAUUGUUUUGACGUUACCGACAGAAUAAGCACCGGCUAACUUCGUGCCAGCAGCCGCGGUAAUACGAAGGGUGCAAGCGUUAAUCGGAAUUACUGGGCGUAAAGCGCGCGUAGGUGGUUCAGUAAGUUGGAAGUGAAAUCCCCGGGCUCAACCUGGGAACUGCUUUCAAAACUGCUGAGCUAGAGUACGGUAGAGGGUGGUGGAAUUUCCUGUGUAGCGGUGAAAUGCGUAGAUAUAGGAAGGAACACCAGUGGCGAAGGCGACCACCUGGACUGAUACUGACACUGAGGUGCGAAAGCGUGGGGAGCAAACAGGAUUAGAAACCCCGGUAGUCC
rnacentral:rRNA from 1 species